rnacentral:rRNA from 1 species
UGUUAUCUUCAUUUGAGUGAUGGAGGGACGCAGGAGGCAAAAGAAAGCAGACGAAUGGAAAGGUCUGUCCAAGCAGUACGUCGGAGAAAGAGUCAAAGGCUUUUUCUUAUUAACGAUAAGCUGUGACGGGGAGGGAAAUUUAAGUACCGAAGUUCUGGCGUCACACUGCCAAGAAAAACUUCUAGCAAGAAGGUAAUGGCCCGUACCGCAAACCGACA